GGCGACCUGGGGAAACGUGUCCGCCUGCGAACUGAAAAGCGGAAGGUCGACGGUUCGAUCCCGCCCCUGGCCA
rnacentral:tRNA from 1 species